GAUGAACGCUGGCGGCGUGCUUAACACAUGCAAGUCGAACGAAGCACUUUAUUUGAUUUCCUUCGGGACUGAUUAUUUUGUGACUGAGUGGCGGACGGGUGAGUAACGCGUGGGUAACCUGCCUUGUACAGGGGGAUAACAGUUGGAAACGGCUGCUAAUACCGCAUAAGCGCACGGCAUCGCAUGAUGCAGUGUGAAAAACUCCGGUGGUAUAAGAUGGACCCGCGUUGGAUUAGCUAGUUGGUGAGGUAACGGCCCACCAAGGCGACGAUCCAUAGCCGACCUGAGAGGGUGACCGGCCACAUUGGGACUGAGACACGGCCCAAACUCCUACGGGAGGCAGCAGUGGGGAAUAUUGCACAAUGGGCGAAAGCCUGAUGCAGCGACGCCGCGUGAGCGAAGAAGUAUUUCGGUAUGUAAAGCUCUAUCAGCAGGGAAGAUAAUGACGGUACCUGACUAAGAAGCACCGGCUAAAUACGUGCCAGCAGCCGCGGUAAUACGUAUGGUGCAAGCGUUAUCCGGAUUUACUGGGUGUAAAGGGAGCGCAGGCGGUGCGGCAAGUCUGAUGUGAAAGCCCGGGGCUCAACCCCGGUACUGCAUUGGAAACUGUCGUACUAGAGUGUCGGAGGGGUAAGCGGAAUUCCUAGUGUAGCGGUGAAAUGCGUAGAUAUUAGGAGGAACACCAGUGGCGAAGGCGGCUUACUGGACGAUAACUGACGCUGAGGCUCGAAAGCGUGGGGAGCAAACA
rnacentral:rRNA from 1 species